UGAGGAAUAUUGGUCAAUGGACGCAAGUCUGAACCAGCCAAGUAGCGUGCAGGAUGACGGCCCUAUGGGUUGUAAACUGCUUUUAUAUGGGGAUAAAGUGGGGAACGUGUUCCCUUUUGCAGGUACCGCAUGAAUAAGGACCGGCUAAUUCCGUGCCAGCAGCCGCGGUAAUACGGAAGGUCCGGGCGUUAUCCGGAUUUAUUGGGUUUAAAGGGAGCGUAGGCCGCGUUUUAAGCGUGUUGUGAAAUGUAGACGCCCAACGUCUGCAUCGCAGCGCGAACUGGGACGCUUGAGUACGCGCAACGUUGGCGGAAUUCGUCGUGUAGCGGUGAAAUGCUUAGAUAUGACGAGGAACUCCGAUUGCGAAGGCAGCUGACGGGAGCGGCACUGACGCUUAAGCUCGAAGGUGCGGGUAUCAAACAGG
rnacentral:rRNA from 1 species